UACGAAGGGUGCAAGCGUUGUUCGGAAUUACUGGGCGUAAAGCGCGCGUAGGCGGCUUGAUAAGUUGGAAGUGAAAUCCCGGGGCUUAACUCCGGAAUUGCUUUCAAAACUGCCAAGCUGGAGUAUGAUAGGGGACAGUGGAAUUCCUAGUGUAGAGGUGAAAUUCGUAGAUAUUAGGAGGAACACCAGUGGCGAAAGCGACUGUCUGGAUCAUUACUGACGCUGAGGCGCGAAAGCGUGGGGAGCAAACAGG
rnacentral:rRNA from 1 species